rnacentral:rRNA from 1 species
AUACGGAGGAUUCGAGCGUUAUCCGGAUUUAUUGGGUUUAAAGGGUGCGUAGGUGGUUUUGAUAAGUCAGCGGUGAAAGUUUGCAGCUUAACUGUAAAAAUGCCGUUGAAACUGUCGGACUUUGAGUGUAAAUGAGGUAGGCGGAAUGCGUGGUGUAGCGGUGAAAUGCAUAGAUAUCACGCAGAACUCCGAUUGCGAAGGCAGCUUACUAAGCUACAACUGACACUGAAGCACGAAAGCGUGGGGAUC